rnacentral:rRNA from 1 species
GACGAACGCUGGCGGCGUGCUUAACACAUGCAAGUCGAACGGAAAGGCCCUGCUUUUGUGGGGUGCUCGAGUGGCGAACGGGUGAGUAACACGUGAGUAACCUGCCCUUGACUUUGGGAUAACUUCAGGAAACUGGGGCUAAUACCGGAUAGGAGCUCCUGCUGCAUGGUGGGGGUUGGAAAGUUUCGGCGGUUGGGGAUGGACUCGCGGCUUGUCAGCUUGUUGGUGGGGUAGUGGCUUACCAAGGGGUUGACGGGUAGCCGGCCUGAGAGGGGGGUCGGCCACAGUGGAGGUGAGACACCGUCCAGACUCCUACGGGAGGCAGCAGUGGGGAAUGGGGGACAAUGGGGGCAAGUCUGACCCAGCCAUACCGCGUGGGUGAAGAAGGCCUUCGGGGUGUAAAGCCGUUUUGUGGGGAAAGAACCGCAGCAGGUUGAUACGACGCUGGUGUGACGGUACCGAAAAAAUAAGCACCGGCUAACUUCGUG